ncrna:unclassified sequences L2-Alphaproteobacteria ribosomal protein leader
GCGGACCUACGGGGCCGUUCACCAUAGGGGCCAUUUGGCCCCGAAAGCAAAACGGAAGACAGCAA